UACAGAGGCCCCAAGCAUUAUCCGGAUUCACUGGGCGUAAAGGGUGCGUAGGCGGUGUGAUUAGUCAGGUGUUAAAUCCUCGGGCUCAACCCGAGAAUCGCAUUUGAAACGGUCAUACUAGAAGAAGUCAGAGGUAAGCAGAACUCUCGGUGUAGGGGUGAAAUCCGUUGAUAUCGAGGGGAAUACCAAAUGCGAAGGCAGCUUACUGGGACUUUCUUGACGCUGAGGCACGAAAGCGUGGGUAGCGAACGGG
rnacentral:rRNA from 1 species